rnacentral:rRNA from 1 species
UGGGGAAUAUUGCACAAUGGGCGAAAGCCUGAUGCAGCGACGCCGCGUGAGGGAUGACGGCCUUCGGGUUGUAAACCUCUUUCAGCAGGGAAGAAGCGAAAGUGACGGUACCUGCAGAAGAAGCGCCGGCUAACUACGUGCCAGCAGCCGCGGUAAUACGUAGGGCGCAAGCGUUGUCCGGAAUUAUUGGGCGUAAAGAGCUCGUAGGCGGUUAGUCGCGUCUGCUGUGAAAACUCGAGGCUCAACCUCGGGCUUGCAGUGGGUACGGGCUGACUAGAGUGCGGUAGGGGUGACUGGAAUUCCUGGUGUAGCGGUGGAAUGCGCAGAUAUCAGGAGGAACACCGAUGGCGAAGGCAGGUCACUGGGCCGCAACUGACGCUGAGGAGCGAAAGCAUGGGGAGCGAACAGGAUUAGAUAGCCCUGGUAGUCCAUGCCGUAAACGUUGGGCACUAGGUGUGGGGUCCAUUCCACGGAUUCCGUGCAGCAGCAAAGCGCAUUAAGUGCCCCGCCUGGGGAGUACGGCCGCAAGGCUAAAACUCAAAGGAAUUGACGGGGGUC